ACAGUUAUGCAGACAAUCGCGUCAUUUAAUGAUGAGGAAAGUCCGAGCAUCAAGAGAACUGGGUGCUGGCUAACGGCCAGCGGAGGCGACUCUAGGGAUAGUGCAACAGAAAUAAACCGCCACUUGUUGGCAAGGAUGGAAAGGUGGUGUAAGAGACCACCGCUUGGAGGGAGAUCUUCAAGGCUCUGUAAACCCCACCUGAUGCAAGGCUUUGGGUCAAUGUGCUUGUUCUCUCACGACCUGCAGUGCCGCUUGAGCUUGUUGGCAACAACAAGACUAGAUAGAUGAUUGUCUAAUACAGAACUCGGCUUACAGCAUAGCUAGUCGG
rnacentral:RNase_P_RNA from 1 species